UACGAAGGGGGCGAGCGUUGUUCGGAUUUACUGGGCGUAAAGGGCGCGCAGGCGGCAGAUCAAGUCAGACGUGAAAGCCCCGGGCUUAACCUGGGAACUGCGUUUGAUACGGAUGGGCUAGAGUUCGGGAGAGGAGAGUGGAAUUCCCAGUGUAGAGGUGAAAUUCGUAGAUAUUGGGAAGAACACCGGUGGCGAAGGCGGCUCUCUGGACCGAGACUGACGCUGAGGCGCGAAAGCGUGGGGAGCAAACAGG
rnacentral:rRNA from 1 species